rnacentral:lncRNA from 1 species
AUGCUGGAGACCCAGGGAUGCCAUGGUAAUGACCCAGAAACCCAACUCUUUUCUGGUUUUAGAAGAGAUUUUAAUGAUUAAGACGAGAAACAUGGAAUCCAUCACCUAGAUCUUCUUAUACCAGCCAAGUAUUCUCUAGCAUACAAGUUAGCCAUGGAAGCAAGGUGAACAGAGCCAGACAGCAGCCUGCACCAUGCAGAACUGCACCGGCAGUUCCUGCCUUAAGAUUUGUCCUUAUUUGAUGGGGAUGAGCACCUAAUUGGACCGUGGCUGGAUGGAUUUUCCCUUGUUUGCAGCUGACAGCUUGCCUGGAUGUCGGUCUGCAGUGUAAAAUUCGAUUUAAGAAAUGUCAACUCUGAAGUCUUCAGUGGAGACUCUUAAAUAUGUCCCGUGACCACUGUGAUAACAUUGGCACCCAGAAGAGAUGGAGCACACCCCUGGGAGCUGUAGACAGGAGCAGAGGUCAGAGGUCAGUUCUCUGGAAAGGUGAAGAAAUGUCAGAAGGUCAUCGGUCUCCUCACCACAGAGAUUCGUGGAUUACAUGCUCAGCACUGUGCAGAAGGUGACAGGUGGUCAGGUGUGACUUCUGUCACCGGGAGCCAGCCAUCCACAAAGGAAAUGGCCUAAUCAUAUGCGCUAUGAUGGAGGGAGGGCA